GGAAGUGAACCAUCUCAGUACCUGAAGGAAAAGAAAACAAUAGUGAUUCUGCUAGUAGCGGCGAGCGAACGCGGAAAAGCCUAAACCGAUAGGAUUUAUCCUGUCGGGGUCGUGGGAUCAGACAUAACGGGAGAAGAAGAUUAACAAAAGUGUAUGGAAAAGCACACCAUAGAGCGUGAUAGUCGCGUAUGUGAAAAUUUUCGACUUCUAGUUUGACACCCGAGUAAUGCGGAACACGAGGAAUUCUGCAUGAAUUUGCCGGGACCAUCCGGUAAGGCUAAAUACUCCGAAGUCACCGAUAGUGAACCAGUACCGUGAGGGAAAGGUGAAAAGAACCCCAGUGAGGGGAGUGAAAUAGUACCUGAAACCGUUUGCUUACAAGCAGUAGGAGGAGCGCAAGCUCUGACUAUGUGCCUUUUGCAUAAUGAGCCGGCUAGUU
rnacentral:rRNA from 1 species